GAUGAACGCUGGCGGCGCGCCUAACACAUGCAAGUCGAACGGUUAAAGCACCUUUUAGGUGUGUAUAAAGUGGCGAACGGCUGAGUAACACGUGGGCAACCUGCCCUCCUCUUGGGGAUAGCCUCGGGAAACCGAGGAUAAUACCCGAUACUUCAAUGUGGCCGCAUGACGACAUUGAGAAAGCUUUUGCGGAGAAGGAUGGGCCCGCGGCCUGUUAGCUUGUUGGUGGGGUAGAGGCCUACCAAGGCAAUGAUGGGUAGCUGGGUUGAGAGACCGACCAGCCAGAUUGGGACUGAGACACGGCCCAGACUCCUACGGGAGGCAGCAGUGGGGAAUAUUGCACAAUGGGCGCAAGCCUGAUGCAGCGACGCCGCGUGAGGGAUGGAGGCCUUCGGGUUGUAAACCUCUUUCGCUCAUGGUCAAGCCGCAACAGUGGUUGUGGUGAGGGUAGUGGGUAAAGAAGCGCCGGCUAACUACGUGCCAGCAGCCGCGGUAAUACGUAGGGCGCGAGCGUUGUCCGGAAUUAUUGGGCGUAAAGGGCUUGUAGGCGGUUGGUCGCGUCUGCCGUGAAAUCCUCUGGCUUAACUGGGGGCGUGCGGUGGGUACGGGCUGACUUGAGUGCGGUAGGGGAGACUGGAACUCCUGGUGUAGCGGUGGAAUGCGCAGAUAUCAGGAAGAACACCGGUGGCGAAGCGGGGUCUCUGGGGGCGUACUGACGCUCAGGAACGAAAGCGUGGGGGAGCGAACAGGAUAAAUACCCUGGGUAGUCCAAGGGCGAAUCCACAGUGGAUAUCAAGCGUAUCGUACCCUUCCACCCCGUGGGGGGGGGGGGGUCGCGCCUUUACUCCCUCCUCCUUGUAUGGAAAUAUCUGGGCGUGGCGGAAUAUGGGUGCAAGGGGAUUGCACACAUCCGGAUAAGCAUACAUGA
rnacentral:rRNA from 1 species